ensembl:lncRNA
AUGGUGACCAUCUCCCCCCUUUCGGCGGCACAAGUUUGCAGUCACGGGGCACUGCCGCUGCCGCUCGGGGGGGACGGCGUAGCCCAAUCCGAGCGCCUCAUCCGCGGUCUGCCCCCGGCUGGCGCUGCUACCCUGGCCCCCAGUGCCAGGCGAUCUUCCGACGGCUGCCAAGAAUCUUGUCUCUUCUUCCUGCAGCUGCAGUGGGGUGGGCCCAUGUGCAGCCAGGCCAAUUUUAAACAGAGCAGAGCAGGGCUGCGCUCCUGCAGGGGCUCGGGCCCGGCGCCACCGACGACAAAUCCUGCAACCGCUGUCUGCAGCCCAGUCAGGUGCAUUACAGAUGUGCUGGAAAGAUCAGGCCAGGGGGCAGCAGGAAGGGGUGUCCCAGACACUGUAGUUUCAAAUGUGCAUUGAAUUUCAGUAUAAUACUGUGUAAUAUUUAAGGAUAUUGAUUUAACUUCAUAAUUUUUCCUGUAUAAAAUUCACAGAGACUUGCUGGGUUGUUUAUACCCUCAAAAGAAAAAGAAAUUUUAAGGUCUUAUUUUCCUCUUCCACAAAUCUUACAGUUUUAGUUGUGUGACUUCCAAAUCUAAAAUUAAGUUUUGUUCUCAGUCAUUUAAAAAUUGUGUUAACAUAUUAUUCAAGGAUGGGAGCUGUUGGCUAUUUCCGGUUUAUCUGGCAAAUUAACAAAUCUAGGCAAACCAGCCAAGGGUACAAACAAAGCUCUAAAAGCUUAGAAGGUUAUUGAAACAACAGUGACAAGAAACCUAUUAAAUAUGCAGAGUAAAACCCAAGGCAUAGACUUCUAAUACCCUGUGAAUGACCCAGCUGGUUGCCUGGUAGGGGGGUAGUAUACAUGAUGUUGCCAAUCCCUUUCAGACCGAAGGCAACUUCACUGAAACAUGGAAAAGUCUUGAAAAGAAAGCAAACAUAAAGCUACUAAUUUGGUUUAGUAGGGAAAGUGUUUGUGCAGUUAGAUAACAGUUUGUAAGUUUACAAGUUUGUUAAUAUUUUUAGUUAUUGUUAUAAUGUUAAUGUUAUUACCAUGUUGUUAAGCUCUAUGUUAAAAGUUUUUUUAGGAAUUCUUUAUGUUCAUUGUUUUUAGUCCAACAAAAGGAAGAGGUAAUAAGUUUGGUUGGGACCCCCCCACAGGCCUAUGAGAAUAGUUUUAAUCUUAGUUUGUUCCGUUCAGUUUCAUGUAGAUGAUUGUUCUAUUUUUAAGAGAACAAGCAAAAGAAAAAUGGAGACCACGACCACUACAGGGAGGCUCAGUAAUGCUACAUAUGUUUUUAAUUUCUUGAACAACUCAUUUAUGGAGCUUAACACCCCAGUUAUUAGACAUUUUCCAAUAUCACACAAGCACAAUUAAAAGAGAGACCUAGUCCUAACUAGAGAUCUAGAAACCAGCAAAAUUUUAGGGCCUUUCCCACUAAUUUUCUGGGGGAAGGGAUAUGCUUGUGUCUCUACAGAUAAAGGACCUCUCUGGGUUCCAGCAAAAAAUAUCAAGUCAUAUCUGCAGCUUUGACAGGAACACCAAGAAGUUUAACACGAAGAACCCCAGGAAGAACAUGCAGAAAAGAUACCUUGAGGCUUUUGCAUAGCCUUCUCUUGUCUCUUAACCACUGCUGAUUAAUACCACCAGUUUCUUAGCUCUAUAAGCAUUAUUAAUAUUUAAAGUCCUAUCCGCAGGUUAUUCCACCAGACAUGACUCUUUAAGGGACUCCUGCUUGCUGUACCCAUCCUGAUCCAUGCCAUACUCCUCACUUAAACCUGGUCCAGUGAUUUCUCAUUACAGUUACCAUCUGUAACAUUUCUCAUUUGUGGAGACAGAGCAUGGCCUGCCAUUCCAUCUCACUUUAAGGGCAGACCAUGUAGCUUGAGAAGGCUUACCGUGCUAGCACCUGAGAUUUCCAUAAUUCGUGACUAAAAAAAUAGGCAUAAGAGAUUUGUCCAUUGAAUCAAAUUUGAAUCUGAUUGCAAAGAUGAGAUUAACUUUUGAAGUAAAGGAAAGAGAAUAGCAGCCUCGAUACUGGCACCUGGGGUUGCUGGAGCAAAAUCUUUAAAAAUGCUGGAUGAUCUUGGGUGUUGGCUGAGUAGGCAAACCAAUGCUAAGUCCUGAGAACUGACUAAGCUAUUGCUGAAUGUUAAUAGCAUCAGGUAUGCCUCCCUACAGAACAGAAUUGCAAUAAACUUCCUGCUAUUAGCCCA